GGGGAAUAUUGGACAAUGGGCGCAAGCCUGAUCCAGCCAUGCCGCGUGAGUGAUGAAGGCCCUAGGGUUGUAAAGCUCUUUCACCGGUGAAGAUAAUGACGGUAACCGGAGAAGAAGCCCCGGCUAACUUCGUGCCAGCAGCCGCGGUAAUACGAAGGGGGCUAGCGUUGUUCGGAAUUACUGGGCGUAAAGCGCACGUAGGCGGAUCGGUCAGUUAGGGGUGAAAUCCCAGAGCUCAACCCUGGAACUGCCUCUAAUACUGCUGGUCUAGAGUUCGAGAGAGGUGAGUGGAAUUCCGAGUGUAGAGGUGAAAUUCGUAGAUAUUCGGAGGAACACCAGUGGCGAAGGCGGCUCACUGGCUCGAGACUGACGCUGAGGUGCGAAAGCGUGGGGAGCAAAC
rnacentral:rRNA from 1 species